UACGGAGGGUGCGAGCGUUGUCCGGAAUCACUGGGCGUAAAGGGCGCGUAGGCGGCGCGGGUAGUCAUCGGUGAAAGUUCAGGGCUCAACUCUGAAUCGGCCGGUGAUACUCCCGUGCUCGAGCACUGUAGAGGCAGGUGGAAUUCCGGGUGUAGCGGUGGAAUGCGUAGAGAUCCGGAAGAACACCAGCGGCGAAGGCGGCGCUCUGGGCCGGUACUGACGCUGAGGAGCGAAAGCGUGGGUAGCAAACAGG
rnacentral:rRNA from 1 species